GGAAACCUGUUCGGGACUCCUUCCUCUGCACAGGGAAGGUCUCUUCUUUCUUUUGCCUGCUAAACUUCCGCUCUUGAACCCACUCCUUUUGUGUCCCCAUCCUCGAUUUCCUUGGCGUGGGGCAACAAACCACACGUAUUACCCCAGACAACCAUGCUGCUUCAAUCUCACAGGUUGAGAGCUCAUUCCCACAAGACUGCCCCCUUAUUUCCGAUGCCAAUUGCAAGCCCCAGGUUUUACCUGUUAUGACUGAAUGACUAUAAAUUGAGGGUCCCAUGGCCCCCUCCUUGUGUUCAACUGAUUUGCUAGAUUGCCUAACAGAACUAGAGGAAACACUAACUUAUGUUUACCGGUUUAUUAUGAAGGCUAUUACAAAGGAUACAGAUGAAGAGAUACAUAGGAUAAGGUAUGUGAGAAGGACUGCAGAGAUUCUAUGCCCUUCCCAGCAGCCUCUGCAUGUUCAGCUAUCAGGAAGCUCUCUACUAAAAAUAGAAAAAUUAGUUGGGCGUGGUGGCAGGCGCCUGUAAUCCCAGCUAUUCAGCAGGCUGAGGCAGGAGAAUUGCUUGAACCUGGGAGGUGAAAGUUGGAGUGAGCCGAGAUCGCCCCACCGCACUCCAGCCUGGGCGACAAGAGCAAAACUCUGUCUCAAAAAAAAAAAAAAAAAAAAAAAAAAAGGAAGUAGUGACACGAAACACUGUCUCCACACUCCACCCUUAUAACCUCCAGCUGGCACCCUGAAUGGUCUGGCCUCUCCCUGGGGGCGGAUAGGGCAGGAGACACUAAAGUAUUAAUUAUCUUUUUUGAUCAUGGCUGUAACUGUUCUGCGCCAUCUUCAACAGGUGAGACUAAGGAGGGAAUCACAGCUAGUCAUCUCAGCCAGGCCAGUAGGGGGCGCAGUGCAGUGAUCAUUCCCUGGGGCCAAGGCUGUCUCCUUGCAGGUUCAUCUCAGCUCUGCAGCAAUGCCUACUUCUUUCCAUCCGCUCCGAGGCUGUUACUAAGUAUGUGGAGCUCCUUUUCAACAACUCGCUUACUACAAAGUCCUGCUCAUUAAAAGGCGAAGGUGGUAGUGGUAGAGGACUAGAUGGGCUAACUAUUGAGUGAUAAAAUUUUUCAACUUCCUCCCUUUUCUCAAGACCUUAAAAAAAAAAAAAAACAACAGAACAUCUUCUCUGCCAACAUUUUUUUUCUUUUGAGAUGGAGUCUCGCUCUGUCGCCCAGCCUGGAGUGCAGUGGUGCGAUCUUAGCUCACUGUAACCUCCGCCUCCCGGGUUCAAUCGAUUCUCCUGCCUCAGCCUCCCCAGUAGCUGGGAUUACAGGCACAUGCCACCAUGCUUGGCUAAUUUUUGUAUUUUUAGUAGAGACGGGGUUUCACCAUGUUGGCCAGGCUGGAACUGCCAACAUUUUCUUCAUCCUAAUCAUUAAUCACUUCUUCACCCACAAAAUGUCCUUUGCUAGAACAUGAGUUCCAAGUGGAGACAGAUCACAGAAAGGGGAGGAAAACUCAGAAAUCCUUUGUUAUGAGAACUAUCGAAUUCUCCUCUUGCCUUUGUUCCCCUCAGGUAAAGAAAAAGAUUGCUAUUUUUCCAUCAAUAUCAUACCACAAAUAUCCACCUAUAUUUAUGUUGCCCUCAAGAGUUGUAAUUCUAUUAUCAUCCUACUCAAGAAAAAAGGUAGUGAGAAACAACUGGAAGUUACUGGUAUUUUGUUAUUACUAAGUACCAGGGCAUUUC
rnacentral:lncRNA from 1 species